CAGGAUUAGAUACCCUGGUAGUCCACGCCGUAAACGAUGUCGACUUGGAGGUUGUGCCCUUGAGGCGUGGCUUCCGGAGCUAACGCGUUAAGUCGACCGCCUGGGGAGUACGGCCGCAAGGUUAAAACUCAAAUGAAUUGACGGGGGCCCGCACAAGCGGUGGAGCAUGUGGUUUAAUUCGAUGCAACGCGAAGAACCUUACCUGGUCUUGACAUCCACAGAACUUUCCAGAGAUGGAUUGGUGCCUUCGGGAACCGUGAGACAGGUGCUGCAUGGCUGUCGUCAGCUCGUGUUGUGAAAUGUUGGGUUAAGUCCCGCAACGAGCGCAACCCUUAUCCUUUGUUGCCAGCGGUCCGGCCGGGAACUCAAAGGAGACUGCCAGUGAUAAACUGGAGGAAGGUGGGGAUGACGUCAAGUCAUCAUGGCCCUUACGACCAGGGCUACACACGUGCUACAAUGGCGCAUACAAAGAGAAGCGACCUCGCGAGAGCAAGCGGACCUCAUAAAGUGCGUCGUAGUCCGGAUUGGAGUCUGCAACUCGACUCCAUGAAGUCGGAAUCGCUAGUAAUCGUGGAUCAGAAUGCCACGGUGAAUACGUUCCCGGGCCUUGUACACACCGCCCGUCACACCAUGGGAGUGGGUUGCAAAAGAAGUAGGUAGCUUAACCUUCGGGAGGGCGCUUACCACUUUGUGAUUCAUGACUGGGGUGAAGUCGUAACAAGGUAACC
rnacentral:rRNA from 1 species